UACGGGGGGGGCAAGCGUUGUUCGGAUUCACUGGGCGUAAAGGGUGCGCAGGCGGCCAAGUGUGUGAGGCGUGAAAGCCCAGGGCUUAACCCUGGAAUUGCACCUCAAACUACAUGGCUAGAGCAUUGGAGAGGGAAGCGGAAUUCACGGUGUAGCAGUGAAAUGCGUAGAUAUCGUGAGGAACACCAGAGGCGAAGGCGGCUUCCUGGACAAUUGCUGACGCUCAGGCACGAAAGCGUGGGGAGCAAAAGGG
rnacentral:rRNA from 1 species